UACGGAGGGUGCAAACGUUGCUCGGAAUCAUUGGGCGUAAAGCGCACGUAGGCGGCCUGUUAAGUCGGGUGUGAAAGCCCUGGGCUCAACCCAGGAAGUGCACUCGAAACUGGCGGGCUUGAAUAUGGAAGAGGGUCGCGGAAUUCCAGGUGUAGCGGUGAAAUGCGUAGAUAUCUGGAGGAACACCGGUGGCGAAGGCGGCAUCCUGGACCAACACUGACGCUGAGGAGCGAAAGCCAGGGGAGCAAACGGG
rnacentral:rRNA from 1 species